GGAGAUAGCUCAGUGGUAGAGUGCCUGCCUAGCAUGCACAAGGUCCUGGGUUCAAUCCCCAGUACUUCCA
rnacentral:tRNA from 1 species